GACGAACGCUGGCGGCGCGCCUAACACAUGCAAGUCGAACGAGCGAGAGAGAGCUUGCUUUCUCGAGCGAGUGGCGAACGGGUGAGUAACGCGUGAGGAACCUGCCUCAAAGAGGGGGACAACAGUUGGAAACGACUGCUAAUACCGCAUAAGCCCACGGCUCGGCAUCGAGCAGGGGGAAAAGGAGCAAUCCGCUUUGAGAUGGCCUCGCGUCCGAUUAGCUAGUUGGUGAGGUAAUGGCCCACCAAGGCAACGAUCGGUAGCCGGACUGAGAGGUUGAACGGCCACAUUGGGACUGAGACACGGCCCAGACUCCUACGGGAGGCAGCAGUGGGGAAUAUUGCACAAUGGGGGAAACCCUGAUGCAGCGACGCCGCGUGGAGGAAGAAGGUCUUCGGAUUGUAAACUCCUGUUGUUGGGGAAGAUAAUGACGGUACC
rnacentral:rRNA from 1 species